CAGUUCAUCUGCUGCCACCACCACUCUCUUUUUGAGAGAUUUCUUCACUAUAUACAUACGCAUAGAGAAUGGGCAUUCUUAGAUUUGAAUUCAUUGUUGCGGCACUUUUGAUUGCUGUUUUGUUCAAAACUGGAGCAGACAGCAGCAGAUCUUCAGAUCUUGACAAUGGAAGGGAUCAACGCAUAAUGCUGUGUUAUCUUUGGUAGGUCACAGAAUAGUAGCCGCGCCUGACAAUGCUUCGAAAUGUUUGAAGUGCUUGCAAGAUGCUGAGACGGCCGGAAGUAAUCAACUCAAAACAGAACAAGCAAAACAAUGCUGGAUGAGAUUUAAAUUUUGUCCACCACAAUACACCUUGGAUAAGAGGCUCAACAUGUGCAGAAAAAAGGACUUGAAUUCACAUUUUCUGCCCUGACAUUGAAAAUUAGAAAGCCACUGAGGAAAAAUUAUGAACUAUUUUUCUAUAAUUUUUAUAAUAAUAUUGUUAGCACGUUUGGCAUUUAUACAAAAUCAAAUAAAUAUUUGCAAAAGUAAAAAUGAUUUAUUUUAAUAAAAC